GCUGCAAGGCCAGCAAAACUGGAUUGCACAUGAUCCACCAGGAAUGUGCAGUACAUGACAUUAAGAAUAGAGCUACUCCCCACAACACAUAAUAAAGGGGGAAAAAGUGUAAUCGCUCCUGGGAAC